AGGAACUGUAAACAAAGGAUUCAAUUUUUAACAUGUCAUAUGUAUCUAUCUAUGCUUUCACACAUAUAUAUAUAUAUAUAUACAUGUAUGUAGUCCUUG
rnacentral:ribozyme from 1 species